rnacentral:lncRNA from 1 species
CACAAGGGCAGUAUUGUUUAAGUAUGACCAUAUGGGAUUGAAGGGUUAACUUAAUUAGAACACUAUAGUUUGUUGUGCUAUCAACAAGACUAUAAGUGAUCUAGAGGCAAGAGAGAAAAAUGUUGAGAAUUGUAUGAAGUAUAAUUGGUAAAGAGUUGCCUACUCUAGAACUCAUGAACGCUUGUUGUGCUAUUCACAAGG